UACGUAGGGUGCAAGCGUUAAUCGGAAUUACUGGGCGUAAAGCGUGCGCAGGCGGUUGUGCAAGACAGAUGUGAAAUCCCCGGCUUAACCUGGGAAUUGCAUUUGUGACUGCACGGCUAGAGUGUGUCAGAGGGGGGUAGAAUUCCACGUGUAGCAGUGAAAUGCGUAGAUAUGUGGGAGGAAUACCGAUGGCGAAGGCAGCCCCCUGGGAUAACACUGACGCUCAUGCACGAAAGCGUGGGGAGCAAACAGG
rnacentral:rRNA from 1 species